ensembl:lncRNA
UAUUAUGUAUUAUGUAUAAAGAUUCUUAUCUUUUAUAUGUAAAAAUAGGCUGCACUGUCUUUGUGUAACUGAAAUGUAUGCCAUCUUUUCUUCUUGAUUCACAGGUAGCACAUUAUACUAUGAUGAUGAAUCUCUACAAUGAACAAUGGCUGUCAGGAUUCAGAGACGAUGGCGGGGCUACAGGGUUCGGAAAUACGUCUUUAAUUAUUAUUAUUUCAAAGAGUAUCUGAGAGUCGUGUCAGAGACCAAUGAUGCAAUUAGCUUCAGCUUCAUUGAAAAUUGAAAAGGAGGAGGAGGAGGAGGAAAAAGAGAAAAAGGAGAAGGAGGAAGAGGAGGAGGAAACAAUCAUUCAAUCUUAUUAUGUUUAAAGAAUAAAUCCAAGCUAGACAAAUUGUAAAUUACUGCACAUUAUAGGAGGAGGAGGAGGAGGAGGAGGAGGAGGAGGAGGACACAAUCACUCAAUCUUAUUAUGUUGAAAGCAUAAAAUCCAAACUAGAAAAAUUGUGAAUUGCUGCUUGGGGAAGGAGGAGAAGGAAGAGGAGAAGGAGAAGAAGGAGGAGGAAGAGGAGGAAAAGGAAACAAUCAGUCAAUCUUAUCAUGUUGAAAUAAUUAUAUCCAAGUUGAAAUAUUGUGAAUUGUUGGAUGAAUGAGGAAAAAGAGGAGAAAAACGAGGAAAAGAAAAAAGAGAAAACAAGAAGUGAAUCUUAUUUUGAUUAAAGCAUAAAUCAAAGAUAAAAAAUUAUGAACUGCUGUGAGAUAAAAAAGGAGGAAACGAAGAAAACAAUCAGUCAAUCUUAUUAUGUUGAAAGAAUAAAUUCCAAGCUAGACAAAUUGUGAAUUGCUGUGCAUUGAAAGAGGAGGAGGAGGAGGAGGAGGAGGAGGAGGAAAAGAAAAAAAAGAAGAACAAGAAGAAGAAAGAGAAAACUAUCAGUAAAUCUUAUCAUGUUGAAAGAAUAAAUUCCAAGCUAAAAAAUUGUGAUUUGCUGCCCGGAGGAAAAGGAGGAGGUGGAGGAGGAAAAGGAGGAAGAGGAGGAGGAAACAACCAGUCUAUCUUAUGUUGAAAAGAUAAAAUCCAAGCAAAACAAAUUGUGAAUUGCUGCGCAUUGGAGAAGGAGGAGGAGGAAAAGGAGGAGGAGGAGGAGGAGGAGGAGGAGGAGGAGGAGGAGGAGGAGGAAACAGUCAAUGCUAUUAUGUUUAAAGAAUAAAAUCCAGAUUACAAAAAUUUUGCAUUGCUAGAAAGAGGAGGAAAAGGAGGAAACAGUCAGUAAAUCUUUGAGAAGAGUAGCACGUCUGCUGGGGGCUCUUGGCCAGCAAGAGGGUCCCAACCUGGAUAGGGGGUGUGCGGAAGAUAAAAGGUGACAGACAGAAAAC